UUACAGGUCUAUCUUGGAGUGCACAAGAUGAUGAAAGGGGUGGGGUCUGUCAAGCGAGGCGUUACUUUAUUCAAAUUAAUGAAAAUUUCAAUGUGCAAAAGCUAAAGAGUUACAACUCGGGUGUCAUAACAUACAAGUUUUAUGGAACCCUUAUCCCGCCGAAAAUGGGAGAAAUUGCAUUCCUCCGGCAAGUUGGGACGGCCUUUGGUGCACCGGUAAGUUGGUAACAGUUGUUUACAGGGAGC